UACGUAGGGUGCAAGCGUUGUCCGGAAUUAUUGGGCGUAAAGAGCUCGUAGGCGGUCUGUCGCGUCUGCUGUGAAAACCCGAGGCUCAACCUCGGGCCUGCAGUGGGUACGGGCAGGCUAGAGUUCGGUAGGGGAGACUGGAAUUCCUGGUGUAGCGGUGAAAUGCGCAGAUAUCAGGAGGAACACCGAUGGCGAAGGCAGGUCUCUGGGCAUCUCCUGACCCUGAGGCGCGAAAGCGUGGGGAGCAAACGGG
rnacentral:rRNA from 1 species